GUCUUCCUGUUUUUAUUGGAAGUCUGACCUGCCCAGUGAUUAUUUUAACGGCCGCGGUAUAUUGACCGUGCAAAGGUAGCAUAAUCAUUAGUCUUUUAAAAGGAGGCUGGAAUGAAAGGUUUGACGAGACAUUUACUGUCUCAGCCUUAAUUAUUAAAAUUUAACUUUUGAGUUAAAAGGCUUAAAUUUUGUUGGAAGACGAGAAGACCCUAUAGAGCUUUAUGGUUUUUUCUUUAUUUUCUUUAUAAUUAGUUUUAUUGAUUAAACUUUUUUGUUGGGGCGACAAGAAAUAUAUAUUUAACUUUUUUAUUUAUAAUACAUUUAUUUAUGAUUUAUUAGAUCCAUUAUUAGUGAUUAUUAGAGUAAGUUACCUUAGGGAUAACAGCGUAAUCUUCUUUAGGAGUUCGUAUUUGCAAGAAGGAUUGCGACCUCGAUGUUGGAUUAAGAUUAUAAUUGGGUGCAGUUGCUCAAUGGUAUAGGUCUGUUCGACCUUUAAAUUCUUACAUGAUCUGAGUUCAGACCGG
rnacentral:rRNA from 1 species